GCUAAAUAAUUAACCUUCCUACUCAUAAUUUUUUUAAAGUAGGCUAAUUAUGUAUAUUACCUUUAAAUUAAUGACAUCUGCAGAACUUAACUGUGUACCAUUCAGCUGAUUUGCCUCCUUGUGAAUCAGUACAAUUUUAUUAGAAAGAAAAGCAAAUAUUAAUAGCUCUGUAGAUGAUAACUAAAGUAAUUUGUCAACCUCAUUUAUUCACUUUUACAAUACUUUUCUGAUAUGCAAGUGAAAAUCAAACCUAACAACCAAAUAUUAUGGGACUCCUAAGCAUCC
rnacentral:lncRNA from 1 species